UAUGGCCAUACCACCCUGAACACACCUGAUCUUAUCUGAUCUUAUCUGAAGCUAAGCAGGGUAGGGCCUGGUUAGUACUUGGAUGGGUAAAUGCUAGAAUAGAGAUUUAUGCUUUAA
rnacentral:rRNA from 1 species